AAUCGCCGUAUACCGAACGGUACGUACGGUGGUGUGGAAGGUCGGCUAUCCAAC
rnacentral:misc_RNA from 1 species